CACACCAGAGAGCUUGCUCUCUUUCUCUGUGCAUACCCACCAAGGGAAGACCAUGUGAGGAUUCAGAGAGAAGAUGGAUGUCUACAAGCCAGUGUCUACCAUCCAGCAGUUCCACAGCCAUUACCUGAACCAUUGGUUUACGUGGUGUGUCAACAAAUGACAGAAUAAAGAAGCAGUCAGGGUUUCUACUGCAGGUGACGUCAUCUACUCCCAGAGCAUCAACAUCAUCUUUGAGUCAAAGACUACUAAAUCUCCUGAUCCAAGUUCUCUUCUGAGUUGCAGAUCCACAGUUAUGAUUCCCUGUUGGAUAUCCUUACUGAACUGAAAGCAUUUUCGGCCAGUAAUGCCACUGUAUGAUUGUUUCUGGCUGUUGUCCAUUCUAACUGGGAUUUACGUGGACUCUUAACAAUCUUCAAACUGCAAGGGAGCAUUCCCUCAUCACUCAAGCAUCGGCAGAUUUAUGCAAAUGAGACAUUCUGCAACCACCUCAGCGGAAUGCUCCUCUUG